UUUUCUUUUUGAGACCUGAUUCUUGAAUUAACUUUAAGUACUUAAUUAUUUACGUUCUACUUCAUCAAACAAUUAAUCUUCCUUAGGAGAGACAGCAUGGAAUUGGAAGAGAAGUGGGAAUCUCCAUGAAGGGCAGUCAACUACAGUCUUGGUGUGUGGAGGAACAGGUCCUGUUCUCGCUGUUGUUACUUCCACAUAGGCGGACUCUGUAAUUGAUUAUCUGUGGGUAGGGCCCUAUUGAAAUUAAGGAGAUUCUGCCAUAGUGCAGGGUUCUUUUUGUGAAAGUUCAGUUGCAAGAUCAGGACCCUACUGUGACUCCUUACUGUGAAUUCUAUCAGUGUAUCAUUGAUUGUGCUGGAACCUGCCUUUUGGGAUAAUUACCAAAUAAUAUAUUCCUCAAAACUUCUUAAUGGCACUGAGGCUUUGUGGAUAGUUGGUCACAUGAUGAGAAAAUUCAGCUCUACCAUCUCUUCUGAAGCUUUUCACUUGCUACCUUUCUGACCAUCCUACCUUCCAUGUUGAGAGUAUUGUCCUACUUCUGAUGUGGAAGAUUGCUGACCCUUUCCUUUGAUGCUGAUACCAGUAUUUUCUGUGAGAGAUAGUACUGUGGUGAAGACAUAGAAAAAGAAGAAUCUGGCACUCGUGAAUUUUUUGAAUAGUCAAGAAGUAUUGUUCUUCUGCCUUCAUAUAAAGUGUGCUGGUUCCCUAAUGUACUUGUAAUUUAAAGAUGUUUGUAGAAAUGUAAAAUCAAAUGUGAAGAAUAUAAAAUCUAUAUUAAAGACAUUCAAAUGUAACAAAAUAUAGCAUUAGUCUUUAUUUUAA